UGGGGGUUUCGUCCUGCUCCGGAGACACUGCUUCGUAGCCCUUGUUGACGCGGAGCGGCUGUACCAUGGAUAGUUCUCCUCCAGUCACCCAAGAGAAGAUGCCUGAACUACAAACAUAACUUGGAUGAGCGAUAAUAGGUGUGGUACAUGGAACGAAGGAAUCUCAUCGGGGAAAUAUACUAUCCUGAAAUUCUGUCAUUUGCUUCUCUCAAGAAUGUGAACACUUUAACUCAAAUUGGAUUUAAACUUUUAUAGAGGCACAUAAACUUCUAUAGAGGCAUAUUUCAUAACUAAAUCUGAGGUAGGUUACA